rnacentral:rRNA from 1 species
UACGUAGGGUGCGAGCGUUGUCCGGAAUUAUUGGGCGUAAAGAGCUCGUAGGCGGUUUGUCGCGUCUGCUGUGAAAUCCCGAGGCUCAACCUCGGGUCUGCAGUGGGUACGGGCAGACUAGAGUGCGGUAGGGGAGAUUGGAACUCCUGGUGUAGCGGUGGAAUGCGCAGAUAUCAGGAAGAACACCGAUGGCGAAGGCAGAUCUCUGGGCCGUAACUGACGCUGAGGAGCGAAAGCAUGGGGAGCGAACAGG